rnacentral:lncRNA from 1 species
CCCAUACAAAGUUACACAGGUGACACAGCCCAACAAAAACCGGUUUUACAUAAAACCCGGUUACUAACUGUUUCUGGUUAUGGUUUUUUUCUUUGGCUAAAAUUUAGGAUUCUGAUUUAUUUGCAAACGAUCAUGUAUGAUUAUAAGUUAAAAGUUAAUUACUUUCUGCUAAAUAAUUUUUCAGGUUAACUAUAAUUUUCCCUUGAUUUCACACUAAUAUUACAAUAUAUUUUUAUAUAUAUUAACUUUAUUUAUCUACCCGGAAACCAGGUAUUCAAACGUUGAUUAUAAACAAAUUCGAACAAAAUAAUCUCAUUCUAACUUACCAUCCUACCUUCGCUCAAUUAUGACUAUACCGGCGCGUUCUGCUAAGUAGUUUCAUUAUCCUUUGAUUGUCAAUUGCCGUUCUCAAUCGUUGAUGGUAGUACACAUUUGAGGGUGGUAUUCACCUUGUUUCUUCGGCUGCCAGUACAUCUCAUAUCGUCAACAGAGUAGCUCGUUCUUGACAAUUACAUUACGCUCGUAAUCUUUGUUGACAUGAAACCCUUAGCUGGUUAGACAAGACCCGAGAGAUUCAUACCUGAAGACAGGACGACGCCAAGGCGCGUUCUCCCAACAACAGACAAAGACCGGAUUGAGCUCUUGCCACUUUGCUUGUGGAGGGAAACCUGCAAAUACGAAAAAAGAGAUGUCUUAUCGAAUCUUGUAAAAACAAGAUCUCGAUAUUGGGAUGUAAAGCCUCCAAAUGCGCCGCCACAUACAGGAACGAAAACGCCCCCGACUCACAAAACACACCAACAAGUCCACACAUUCCACCUCUUAGAACAAGAGGAAAGUUCGACCUCUCAGAACCAAAGCCAACCGGUGACAGACAGGGGCUCACAAACAUGAAGAACACAACCCCGACAAUUCUACACCAAGAAUAUGCACUUAUGGCGAGAAAGAACAACGAACCAAAACCGGGACAGAAGAGCGAAGACCGGAGAAGAGGAACCAGAUAAUGACGCUAAAGCAUAGACAACUCCACGCGCCGUCACACCAGAGCACUCCACACGCGCCACUGAGAGGCUUCUAACGACACCGCCAGAAGAAGCGAAGCCAGCGAGUGCCUUGACGGAGACCACCGCUGAAGUCCAACCUGAGCACAGUAGCAGACUCCUCCUACACCGAGACACAAAAAGCGGAGGAUGAUGAGCCGACACUUCAGCUCCACACCGAGGAAGAUCUGAGAAGAUCUGAACCGGGUGAGCCCUUCUGAAGACUCACGCGCCACCAGAGCUCCGAUAGAAUCCAAAUCGAGCAAAAGUGUAAUCGUCGAUCUAUAUUUUACUACCGAAAAAGCCAAACUCACCACUGCCUAAGCUCUUUAGCCUCACCGCCACUCCGGUGGAGCCUACCUCCUAGCAAAUACGUAUGCGGCGACCCAGAUCUAAGAAACUGACCAAGAGCAAACUUACUAGAAUCUUGAUAUAUCAGAGAAGGAGUUAAAGGAGUGGAAGAAGCAAAGAUAAAAACGAGAGAGGGGGAAGAGAAUCCGCCGGCCACGACAAGGUGCCACUAUCGGAGGAAGGAGUAAACGCCGGUGAAUUGUCUUUUGGAAGAGAUUUAAGAGAGAGAAAAAUAAUAUUGUGUAAAUAGAUAUAUUUUUAUUAUAUUAUAU